UCGUGUUUUUUGUUUCUUGUUGGUAGGUGGUGAAUGCGUUUUUUUCGUUGUUUUCUCCGUUACUCAGGCUGCCAGUUGCUUGGCAGUCUUGUCGCUGGCUGUGGACGCUCUGCACUUCAUCACCGUCCCCAGCUGCGCUUUGAGCCGGUCUAAGGUUGCCCACAGUAUUGACGUUGGGACCCACGAAACUGGCAAUUUCCAUGUGUGCGGCCUUACCCAGUUCUCCCAAACUUCUGCGUAUAACCGCUUCUCUGUGCUUCAGAAAGAUAAGUCCGGCCCCGGCCUCACACAGCAGCUCAGUUCGUGACAGCGUUUAAUAUGUAAAAUGGAGCAAAUAAUUUAUAGGGCGUUGGGAGAGUUAAAGAGACUAAUUCAUUUACGUGUUAAAUACAGGGAAUGGCUUUUGCAUUGAUAUAACCCCAGCCUCCAGCAUGCGCCAGACCUGACGUAGGUGUUCGGCACAUAUUUUGUCCAAUCACUCUAAAAAUACACUCCAUGCCCUUAGAACAGGUGGGGUUAUGUCCUCUUGGCCAUCAGGCAUCAGGAGCUCCGUGCAGAAACUGGGUAAGAGGCCAGGAGCGGUGGCUCAUGUCUGUAAUCUCAGCACUUUGGGAGGCUGAGGCGGGUGGAUCACCUGAAGUCAGGAGGUCGAGACCAGCCUGGCCAACACGGAGAAACCCCGUCUCUACUGAAAAAAAAAAAAAGAAAGAAAAAAAUUAGCCGGGCGCGGUGGCACGGCCUGAAAUCCCACCUACUCAGGAGCCUGAGGCAGAAGAAUCGCUUGAACUCGGGAGGCGGAGGUUGCGGUGAGCCGAGAUCGCGCCAUUGCACUCCAGCCUAGGCGACAGAGCAAGACUCCGUUUCAAAAAAAAAAAAAAAAGAAAGAAAGAAAGAAACUGGGUAAGAGCGAUCCUGCAAUCCUCCUGCCUCAGCCUCCUGAGUAGCUGGGAUUACAGGCCCGCCCCACCACGCCGGGCUCCUUCCCAGACCUCUUUUCCUCACCCAUAGAACGGGACCAUUAAGCCUUUCCUCCCUUCCAGGCGUGCCAGGAGGAACGCGCAAGAGGUGGGAGGAGGACAGGCUGGCCAGUGGGGUCAGCUGGGCAGUGUAGGGCAGAUGCGGAGGACAAUUUUAUUUUUAUUUUUGAGACGGUGU
rnacentral:lncRNA from 1 species